UUGGGGCUGGGGAAUGGCAUGGGGCUCAGUCCCCUGGGGUCUCUGCCUCGGACAUCCCAGAGAUGGAACUGAAGCCAGCAGCCAGAAACACCAGUGGGCACAGAAAAAAUUUCAAAGCCCACCAGAGAAGUCUGCUCUCUCCAAGGGGCAGCCUAACGAGACAGGAAUCACAGUAGCAGAGCAGCCAGCAAGCACUCUUCUCCAGCCAAACACUAGGGGAGAAGCGGCCCCACGCCCACCUCGCCAGGCAGGAAACAAGGUGCUCCAGCACCCUGCCAGCUGGUGUCCAGGAACGGUCACACAGAUUCAUCUGUGCUUGCUGGCUACAGCCCAUCAGUGUCGGGACACAGAGGAGAGGAAGCACAAGAGAAGGGCUUCCACAUCACAGCCACAAAGGCAAUGCUGACUAAAAUCACAAUGCAGUGUUACCAAGGCCUCCUCGAUGGUUACACGGCACAGUGACGCCAAAUGCUGGAGAGGAUGAGGAGAAACCGGCUCCCACUAGUGGGAAGGUAAAAUGGUACGGCCACUCUGCACGACAGUUGGCUAUUUCUUAAAAAACCAAACAGGCAACUACCGUGUGACCCAAUAAUUCCACUCUUGGGCAUUUACCCCAAAGAAAUGAAGACUUCUGCUCACACAAAAACCUGUCCAUGAAUGUUGAUAGUAGCUUUAUUUGUAAUCACCAAAAACUGGAAACAACUCAGAUGCCCUUGAGUGGUAAACGAUUAACCACAUUGUGGAGCACCCGUUCCAUGGACUACUAUUCAGUAAUAAAAAGAAACAUCGGCCUACAACAACCUGCGGGAUCUCCAGGAGUCAUGCUGAGUGAAGACAGCCCAUCCCCAGAGGCUACAUGCCACCGAUCCCAUUCACGGCACAUUCUGGAAGACAGAAUUACAGAACUGAAGAAGUUCAUUUAUGGAUACUGCAAACUCCAGAAGCACCUGACUUGCCAAGGAAACACCAUGUGGACACGCCUUUGGUACACACUCUCAAUGAAAACCAAUCAGAUCCUUCGGAACGCAUGACCAACUCCAGUGGCCUUAUCACCCACCAUCACCUGGAAUUCUUACCUGCCACUCUGCCCUCUUUCAGAACAUUUCCAACUGCUAAAAUGGACCAGAACUAAAGGGGCCCAGCAGAAACAAAAAACAAGUUUUAAAAACGAC